rnacentral:rRNA from 1 species
UCCGUAGGUGAACCUGCGGAAGGAUCAUUACCGAGUUGGUUCGAGCUCCGGCUCGACUCUCCCACCCUAUGUGUACCUACCUCUGUUGCUUUGGCGGGCCGCGGUCCUCCGCACCGGCGCCCUUCGGGGGGCUGGCCAGCGCCCGCCAGAGGACCAUAAAACUCCAGUCAGUGAACUUCGCAGUCUGAAAAACAAGUUAAUAAACUAAAACUUUCAACAACGGAUCUCUUGGUUCUGGCAUCGAUGAAGAACGCAGCGAAAUGCGAUAAGUAAUGUGAAUUGCAGAAUUCAGUGAAUCAUCGAAUCUUUGAACGCACAUUGCGCCCCUUGGUAUUCCGAGGGGCAUGCCUGUUCGAGCGUCAUUUCAACCCUCAAGCUCUGCUUGGUAUUGGGCCCCGUCCUCCACGGACGCGCCUUAAAGACCUCGGCGGUGGCGUCUUGCCUCAAGCGUAGUAGAAAACACCUCGCUUUGGAGCGCACGGCGUCGCCCGCCGGACGAACCUUUGAAUUAUUUCUCAAGGUUGACCUCGGAUCAGGUAGGGAUACCCGCUGAACUUAAGCAUAUCAAUAAGCGGAGGA